CAGCAGGAAAGCCCGUCAUCCCUGAGCCGCCACCAGCCCUGCUGACCCACUGAGCCCUGCACUGGUGCAACCAUCCCGAUCGUUCCAGAUCCAGCCUGUCCCUCACAGGCAGCCCGUCCUCUCCUCAUAAAGACCCUGCAGCCCCCAUCUGCCAGCAAAACCCCGUGUAUGAGAAGUGGGACAGGCCGCAUCAUGGAGGGCAGCAAGCAGGAUCGGGCUCACAUGUUGUGGAGGACGGGAGGCAGACGCAAGCUGACAAGAAAAUGGCUGACAAGAAAAUCUACCCAAGAGUGGACAUAAUCCAGCUGGUGGUUUCAGAGGAAAAGGCUUU
rnacentral:lncRNA from 1 species